AUACGGAGGGUGCAAGCGUUACUCGGAAUCACUGGGCGUAAAGCGCAUGCAGGCGGUCUAAUAAGUUGGAAGUGAAAGCCUAUGGCUCAACCAUAGAACUGCUUCCAAAACUGUUAGACUAGAGUCUGGGAGGGGAAGAUGGAAUUAGUAGUGUAGGGGUAAAAUCCGUAGAGAUUACUAGGAAUACCAAAAGCGAAGGCGAUCUUCUGGAACAGUACUGACGCUGAGAUGCGAAAGCGUGGGGAGCAAACAGGAUUAGAAACCCUAGUAGUCC
rnacentral:rRNA from 1 species